UAAUGUGGGUCAAGAUAAUAAGAGUUUACGGUGGAUGCCUUGGAGCCAAAAGCCGAAGAAGGGCGCGGUAAGACUGCGAUAAGCCUCGGUGAGCUGUCUGACAAGCUUAGCCGGGGAUUCCCGAAUUAGGAAACUUAUUACGGGUUGUGCCGUAAUAUCCGCAUAGCGGAAGGUAAGUGGGAGAACUGAAACAUCUAAGUAUCCCGAGGAAAAGAAAUCUACCAGAGAUUCCCUUAGUAGUGGCGAACGAAAUGGGAAGAGCACAAACCGAUAUUGCUUAGUGGAUUGAGGUCCUAUGUAAUGUCGGGGUUGUAACACUCGCCUGCCUGAACCUCAGAUAAGGUAAGGAGUAAAAAAUCUUUCAUUUAGUUGAACGCAUCUGGAAAGAACGACCAUAGAAGGUGAUAGUCCUGUAAGCGAAAAAUGUUAGACUCCUGGCGAUGUUGUUGAGUACCACGGGACACGUGAAAUCCUGUGGGAAACUGGGGGGACCACCCUCCAAUGCUAAAUACUUUUGGCUACCGAUAGUGAACAAGUACUGUGAGGGAAAGGUGAAAAGUACCCCGAGAGGGGAGUGAAAUAGACCUGAAACCGUAAACUUACAAGCCGUGGGAGCCGAUUUCGAUCGGUGACCGCGUGCCUAUUGAAGAAUG
rnacentral:rRNA from 1 species